GGACGCGGCUCUCACCAGCCCAUCCAUGAAUCAGGACGUGGCCGUCUCCAGCCCAUCCACAAAUCAGGAUGCAGCCCUCACCAGACACUGAAACUACUUCUCCUUGAACUUGCACUUUCCAGCCUCCAGAACGGGGAGGAAGAACUGUCUGCUGUUUGUAAGCCACCCAGGCCGCAGUAUUCUGUGAUAGCAGCAGGAAUGAAUGGAUUGAGCCAGUGGCAUUGGCACAGUGGAAUGCUGUGGGGUUUUACUAGAAACAGAAAGAAGAGGGACGGGCCUGGACACGCAGACCUGCCAAGACGCUCACAUACUGAACCGUGAGAGGAGGCACGUCUGCUGCUUCAAGCCACUAAACUGGGGUAACUUGUUAUGGCGGUGACUGGAAACUGAGACAGGCCUCCUGGAGUGCGGAGCUAGACUUUCGGCCAGACCAACAGGUCCCUCUCAGGGGAUUUCAAUACUCGUGGAACCUGCCUUCCUUCAGGAGUUCUUACACCCGCGCCUGGGCUUGUUUAUUCCCUCAACAAACGCCUGCUAGGCGCGGACCCUGUGCUGGUGGGCAGGUGAUGGUGAGCGAGACCCACUCCAGGCUCCGGGACCUCAUGGAGUGGAGGAGCUGGGUAAACAGGUGGGUGGCAAUUCAGUGCAAUGAACACUACUCGGGAGUGUAGAGAGCCAGGUGGGGGAAUUGCCAGGGGAUGGUGCAGGCAGAAAAGGCUUAUAAGGGGGUCAUUCACAUGGGGUCCUGAAGGGUGGGUAGGAGCCCACCAGGCCAAGGGUAGAGUGCAGCCCAUGCACGGGGGUGGAUAGAUUACUGCCCAUGCACGCCGGUCUCUCCUGUCCAGGCUUUUUCCAUUAAAAAGAUAACAACAACAGCUGGAUGUGCUGCGAAACAGCCAUGGUCCCAGCUACUCAGGAGGCUGAGGCAUGAGGACCACUUGAGCUCAGGAGUUCAAGACAAACCUGGACAACAUAGUGAGACCCUGUCUCAGAAACAAAAAAAAAGAAAAAAAAAAAGCUAACAGUAACAGCACUGUGUAUUGAGGGCUUGUUCUUUACAAACACACCCUCACAUGACCCUCACAGGAACCUCUGACAUCAGCAUCACUGUCCCCAUUUUGCAGAGGAGGAAGCCAGGACUCCAAGGGGCUGACUUCCCACAGCAAUGAGCUCUGAGCAGUGGAGCCAGGGUGCCUCCCAGCCCUGUGGCCAUAGGCCUGUCCCUCGUUCCCCAUGUGUAGGGGAGAUUGGCCAACGAUGAGCACUGAGGGUGCAGGGACAGCUCUAUGAGGGCUGCCCCAACUCUCCCUAUGCCUUUUCAAUGAUUAGACAAAUCCUUCCCGUGCUGUGACAGCUGCCUGUGGUGUUCAGUACAGUCACACGCCAUGCAGGCGUGCAGCCUGGGAGCAAGAGGCUUUGCCCUCUGCCCAGUGUACAGUGGCCAGACCAUCUAGGUGUGUAUAAGCACUCCAGGAUGUUCACACAAACAUGCGUUAACAUCGCGUUUCUCAGAAUGUAUCCCAUCAUUAAUACGUCUGUAACUGUACGUGUGUAUGCGUGUACUUGCUUAUACAUGAUGUUUGCAGAUGUUAUACAUAAAAUGUCAUAUCUGACACAUUAGAUCCUAUAUUACACACAUGCAUGCGUGUACUUUGUUACACAUGACGUUUGCAGAUGUUAUACAUACAUAAAAUGUCAUAAGAAAUCUAUUAGAUUCUGUAUUACACACGUGCACAUGAUAAACUCUAUAUAUUCCACGUAGCGCACCAUGCACACAUGUGGUGAGUGUCAAUUUUGUGCCAGCUUGACUGGGCUGGUAAAGUAUUUCUGGGGGGGUGUGUGUGAGAGCGCUUCUAGAAGAGUUUAGCAUUUGAAUCCAUAGUAUUAAAGAAGGCUGCCCUCAUCAGCACCAGGGUAGGCAGCG
rnacentral:lncRNA from 10 species